UCAGGAUGAACGCUAGCUACAGGCUUAACACAUGCAAGUCGCGGGGCAGCACUGUGGUGCUGCAACCACUGGUGGCGACCGGCGCACGGGUGAGUAACGCGUAUCCAACCUGCCCUGCAGUGGGGAACAGCCCGGCGAAAGUCGGAUUAAUGCCCCAUGGCGUCCUCGGCGGGCAUCUAAUGAGGACUAAAGGCUUCGGCCGCUGCGGGAUGGGGAUGCGUAGGAUUAGGCAGGCGGCGGGGCGACGGCCCACCGCGCCGACGAUCCUUAGGGGUCUGAGAGGAAGGUCCCCCACACUGGUACUGAGACACGGACCAGACUCCUACGGGAGGCAGCAGUGAGGAAUAUUGGUCAAUGGGCGCGAGCCUGAACCAGCCAAGUAGCGUGCAGGAUGACGGCCCUACGGGUUGUAAACUGCUUUUAUGCGGGGAUAAAGUGGGCUACGCGUAGCCCUUUGCAGGUACCGCAUGAAUAAGGACCGGCUAAUUCCGUGCCAGCCGCCGC
rnacentral:rRNA from 1 species